rnacentral:tRNA from 1 species
GGGGGGAUACCAAAGUGGCCAACUGGGACAGACUGUAAAUCUGUUGUCUUCGGACUUCGCAGGUUCGAAUCCUGCUCCCCCCA